rnacentral:rRNA from 1 species
AGAGUUUGAUCCUGGCUCAGGAUGAACGCUGACAGAAUGCUUAACACAUGCAAGUCUUUGGCGAAGCUGUGCUUGCACAGCCUAGCCAAGGCGGACGGGUGAGUAACGCGUAAGGGACUUGCCCUGCAGUCAGGGAUAACAGACGGAAACGACUGAUAAAACCUGGUAAAGUCAGGCGGACUCAUGUCCAGCCUGAUGAAAAGGAAUGCUGCAGGAGAGCCUUGCGUCCUAUUAGCUUGUUGGUGGGGUAACGGCCCACCAAGGCGAUGAUAGGUAGCCGGCCUGAGAGGGUGGACGGCCACAAGGGGACUGAGAUACGGCCCUUACUCCUACGGGAGGCAGCAGUGGGGAAUAUUGGACAAUGGGGGCAACCCUGAUCCAGCAAUUCUGUGUGCACGAUGAAGGUCUUCGGAUUGUAAAGUGCUUUCAGCAGGGAAGAAAAAAAUGACGGUACCUGCAGAA